UGCCAUCCUGUUGCCAGCAAGUGAAGUUGGGGACUCAGGUGGAACUGCCGGUGACAAACCGGAGGAAGGUGGGGACGACGUCAAGUCAUCAUGGCCCUUAUGUCCUGGGCUACACACGUGCUACAAUGGCCGGUACAGAGCGCAGCGAAGCCGCGAGGCAAAGCGAAUCGACAAAAAGCCGGUCUCAGUACGGAUUGGAGUCUGAAACCCGACUCCAUGAAGUUGGAAUCGCUAGUAAUCGCGCAUCAGCAUGGCGCGGUGAAUACGUUCCCGGGCCUU
rnacentral:rRNA from 1 species